GAUGAACGCUGGCGGCGUGCCUAAUACAUGCAAGUCGAGCGAACGGACGAGAAGCUUGCUUCUCUGAUGUUAGCGGCGGACGGGUGAGUAACACGUGGAUAACCUACCUAUAAGACUGGGAUAACUUCGGGAAACCGGAGCUAAUACCGGAUGAUAUUUUGAACCGCAUGGUUCAAAAGUGAAAGACGGUCUUGCUGUCACUUAUAGAUGGAUCCGCGCUGCAUUAGCUAGUUGGUAAGGUAACGGCUUACCAAGGCAACGAUGCAUAGCCGACCUGAGAGGGUGAUCGGCCACACUGGAACUGAGACACGGUCCAGACUCCUACGGGAGGCAGCAGUAGGGAAUCUUCCGCAAUGGGCGAAAGCCUGACGGAGCAACGCCGCGUGAGUGAUGAUGGUCUUCGGAUCGUAAAACUCUGUUAUUAGGGAAGAACAUAUGUGUAAGUAACUGUGCACAUCUUGACGGUACCUAAUCAGAAAGCCACGGCUAACUACGUG
rnacentral:rRNA from 1 species